rnacentral:rRNA from 1 species
UACGUGCCAGCAGCCGCGGUAAGACGUAGGACGCGAGCGUUAUCCGGAUUUACUGGGCGUAAAGCGUGUGUAGGCGGCGUGACAAGUUGGGCGUGAAAGCCCCGUGCUCAACGCGGGGAGGCCGCACAAUACUGUCAGGCUAGAGGGCAUCAGAGGGGUGUGGAAUUCCCGGAGUAGCGGUAAAAUGCGCAGAUAUCGGGAGGAACACCGGUGGCGAAAGCGGCACCCUGGGGUGCACCUGACGCUGAGAGACGACAGCUAGGGGAGCGAACAGGAUUAGAGACCCUGGUAGUCCUAGCCGUAAACGAUGGAUGCUAGGUGUGGGAGUGAAGAACUUCUGUGCCGCAGCGAACGCGAUAAGCAUCCCGCCUGGGGAGUACGGCCGCAAGGUUAAAACUCAAACGAAUUGACGGGGACCCGCACAAGCAGCGGAGCGUGUGGUUUAAUUCGAUGCUACACGAAGAACCUUACCUGGGAUUGACAUAUGGGUGGUAGUGAGCCGAAAGGCAAGCGACCCUUCGGGGAGCCUAUACAGGUGCUGCAUGGCUGUCGUCAGCUCGUGCCGUGAGGUGUCGGGUUAAGUCCCGUAACGAGCGCAACCCCUGUCCUUAGUUACAAGUGUCUAAGGGGACUGCCGGCGGGAAGCCGGAGGAAGGUGGGGAUGACGUCAAGUCAGCAUGGCCCUUAUAUCCAGGGCGACACACACGCUACAAUGGUCGGUACAGAGGGCAGCGAAGCCGCGAGGUGGAGCGAAACCCAGAAAGCCGGUCGUAGUUCGGAUUGCAGGCUGCAACUCGCCUGCAUGAAGUUGG